AAUUCAAGGGUUUUUGCUGCAAAUGAAUUUGCCAUGGCAACACGGAGGAAUGGUGGUUGGUAGUUCGGGAGGGGGAGGGGGGUUGAGCGAGGAGUGAGUGGAGACGCUGUCGCGAGGCAGGAUUGUGUGUGAUAUUGUUGUUGAGAGCGAGGAAGUCGAAAGUCAGGUGAAAGAACAAUUCGAUCGUCGGACUAUCCGCCUUGAGGUUUCUGGUCGUGUAUUGGUUGGUGAAUUCUUCACGGUUUUACAAGGGAAGAGGGUCUUUGGAAAACGUAAGAUA